ACUUCAGCAACUCAAUCACAACUUCAUGUCCUUAAGGUUCUGCUGCACCUUUCUGUGCACCUAUAAGGGACAUAAUUAAUCAUUAAGAUCCUUUAUAACUCUAUAUCAUAGUGUGUGUGUACGUGUUACCUACUCUUAAAGUCCCUUCUAAUCAGUCUUAUUAUCAAUCCUUUCAUUUUAAGGAGAUUUGGUACUAACUGUUUCUCAUCUCACGUAUUAUUGUUACUAUUUACACCUUUAGGUUCCGACAUUUUUCACUUAUAAAUCUUUCGAGUUUUUCUUACGAAACCAACUCAUAUACCUCCCAAUUUGUCCCUAGUAUUUACUCAAAUUAUUUCAUGAUUUAUAUCAUCUUUGAACUAGUCGAAUUGUAACCUCAAAGUUCAUUGUCUUACGGAAACUAGGACUCUGCGCGUCUUGUACUAAAAUGACCAUAACUUCUAAAUCGUAAAUCUGUUUUGCAUGAUUCAAGCGCUCACGCGAUCUACUAAUCAAGAUCUAUCCAACUAUAUAAAGAAACUUCAUAAAUGCAAAGUGAAGACCCACAGGUGAACCGUAACAGUAGCUGUCUCUUGUAAACCCGGCAUUAUAACGGCUAUAAUCUUAAUGUUGCCGUGGUUAAACUCAUGUUAACGACUUACCCAAGCAAUUAUAUCAACUUAAUAUCAUCAUACUCUAUAUACCCAGCCUUGUUGUUCCAUACACAAGUCAAGAACUUUCAUCUUACAAGCUUACACAACAAACCCAUCAUGUAGCUAACUUAAUACUUAUAGAAUUAUGUAAGUAUAAACAAGCUAGAAUCGAAGCCAUUUUUGAACAUGUUACUGAAGAUGAAAUCAAGAAUCUUACCCCUCAAAUCGCAGCCCUUGUCAAGCUCUUCGAAACAAGCUAUAGAACGUCAAAAUCCGAGCUAGGAAUCUUUUUCUAUGAAUUUUCUUCUCCUCCCUAUUUUAUAGUUCUUCCACUUCGAAUUUUUUCAUCAAAAUGGAUAAACU
rnacentral:lncRNA from 1 species